rnacentral:rRNA from 1 species
AUUGAACGCUGGCGGAAUGCUUUACACAUGCAAGUCGAACGGCAGCACGGGGGCAACCCUGGUGGCGAGUGGCAAACGGGUGAGUAAUACAUCGGAACGUGCCCAAUCGUGGGGGAUAACGUAGCGAAAGCUACGCUAAUACCGCAUACGAUCUACGGAUGAAAGCGGGGGAUCGCAAGACCUCGCGCGAAUGGAGCGGCCGAUGGCAGAUUAGGUAGUUGGGGGGGUAAAGGCUCACCAAGCCAACGAUCUGUAGCUGGUCUGAGAGGACGACCAGCCACAAGGGGACUGAGACACGGCCCAGACUCCUACGGGAGGCAGCAGUGGGGAAUUUUGGACAAUGGGCGCAAGCCUGAUCCAGCCAUUCCGCGUGCAGGAUGAAGGCCUUCGGGUUGUAAACUGCUUUUGUACGGAACGAAACGGCCUCUUCUAAUACAGGGGGCUAAUGACGGUACCGUGAGAAUAAGUACCGGCUAACUACGUGCCAGCCGCCGCCGUAAGAC